rfam:Triticum aestivum genome assembly, contig: Triticum_aestivum_CS42_TGACv1_scaffold_236807_3B
CCAUGGUUGUGAUGAUAAACACUUUAAGCAAACACUCCAGUUCUGCUUCUGAAAAUUGAUGACUGAAAAAACUGUUGUGUAAAAUCUGAGCCACUG